rnacentral:hammerhead_ribozyme from 1 species
AGUCAGCUGACGAGUCCCAAACAGGGCGAAACGCGCGUCCCGGAU